UAUCUUCAGGGCAGGGUGUGAUUCCCUACCGGCGGUAAAGCCCGCGAGCCGAAAGGUAUGAUCCGGUGAGAUUCCGGGGCCGACAGUACAGUCUGGAUGGAAGAAGAUG
rnacentral:ncRNA from 1 species